rnacentral:tRNA from 1 species
GCGGAAGUGGCGGAAUGGCAGACGCGCUAGCCUCAGGAGCUAGUCCGGGCAACCGGGUGGAGGUUCGAGUCCUCUCUUCCGCACCA